UACGAAGGGGGCUAGCGUUGCUCGGAAUUGCUGGGCGUAAAGCGCACGUAGGCGGCUCUUUAAGUCGGAGGUGAAAUCCUGGAGCUCAACUCCAGAACUGCCUUCGAUACUGAAGAGCUCGAGUCCGGGAGAGGUGAGUGGAACUGCGAGUGUAGAGGUGAAAUUCGUAGAUAUUCGCAAGAACACCAGUGGCGAAGGCGGCUCACUGGCCCGGUACUGACGCUGAGGUGCGAAAGCGUGGGGAGCAAACAGG
rnacentral:rRNA from 1 species